rfam:Aedes albopictus isolate Foshan contig4708, whole genome shotgun sequence.
UGUUCUGUGUCUUAGUUGGGUAAAGCGCCGGUAAAGCGAAUACGAAGUCGAGGGUUCGAAUCCCACCAGAACAC